GUAUCUCUAUUGUUGAAGUACUGUGACUGUCUUCAGUCUUCAGUCUUAAUUUUGAAGAAAGAAUUAAAACUGGUCACAUUCACCCCCCCCCAUCUGUGACAUACUCGAUCUUUCAGAGAGUGCUUUUGGAAAGUGUUUCAGAAUAAGUAAGGAGAUCGAAUUUUGUUUAGAGAUCAAGUUGUUAGGAAAGCUGUGAAAAAAAAGAAAGAAAAAAAAAGUAAGAAAAAAAAAGGAAAGAGAGAGAGAGAGAGAAUAAAUUUCGGAUCCUUCCCCGAGGAGAAUUUUAGUUCCGAGUGUGUUUGAUCCGUGUUCAGUAAAACGGGCAUAUCUUUUGCAUACCAACUUGGAUUUGGACGUUCUUGGACUUUUUGGAAAGCUCACGACGAGGUGCGUCAAGAACUAUCCAGGGCUUAGCCCUGCACUUUGACCCUCAAAUUCGGCUUCUAAGGUGGACUUUUGGAGCUUCCAACUUUCUGCAUCCGUUUUCCCGCGUCGCUGUAGCCCGGUAUUUUUCAGUUUUCUCCACCGUCCGACAUCCGUUUUGAGUGAUCUUGCCCUUGCUGGAAAGUUUGUGUCGAUACGCUUCUAACCCAUAUAUUUCCAUAUUUUCCUGAAUUUUCCUUACUGCAGCCUUUGCUGUUCUUCAAUAGACCGACGUACAGUUUUCCGGUCCUUCUUUUGCAUCAGUUUCUGGGGUUGAAAUAAAGAAAAAAGAAGAAGAAAAUAAUAAGAAGCCAAACAAAAGGCCACAAAAAGAAAAGAAAAAAAAUCCCAGAGAUUUACUUGUUAUGCCAUCUUUUGAUCUAUCUAUUCCUACCUUUUCAGUAUCUAGGCUUAGAUUAUUUCUGUAAUUCGUUCUUAUCGACUCCGGC
rnacentral:lncRNA from 1 species